UACGUAGGGUGCGAGCGUUAAUCGGAAUUACUGGGCGUAAAGCGUGCGCAGGCGGUUUUGUAAGCCAGAUGUGAAAGCCCCGGGCUUAACCUGGGAAUGGCAUUUGGGACUGCAAGGCUUGAGUGCGGCAGAGGAGACUGGAAUUCCUGGUGUAGCAGUGAAAUGCGUAGAUAUCAGGAGGAAUACCGAUGGCGAAGGCGGCUCACUGGACCGGUACUGACGCUGAGGCGCGAAAGCGUGGGGAGCAAACGGG
rnacentral:rRNA from 1 species